GUGCUCACUUUGGCAGCACAUAUACUUAAAUUGGAAUGAUACAGGGAAGAUUAGCAUGGCCCUUGAGCAAGAAAUCCACAAAUUCUGUACUUGUACAUAUCUUC